GCAGGGGGAGCAAGAUGAAGUCACAGACCCAGGUCCUCCUAUCCCUGCUGCUUUGGGUGUCUGGUGUCUGUGCAGACAUUGUGAUGACCCAGUCUCCAUCCUCCCUGGCUGUGUCAGAGGGAGAGAAGGUCUCCAUCAGCUGCAGGUCCAGUCAGAGUCUUUAUUACAGUGACAACCAAAAGAACUUAUUGUCCUGGUACCAGCAGAAACCAGGGCAAUCCCCUAAGCUUCUGGUCUACUGGGCAUCCACCCGGUACACUGGGGUCCCUGAUCGCUUCACAGGCAGUGGCUCUGGGACAGAUUUCACUCUCAGCAUCAGCAGUGUGCAGGCUGAAGACCUGGCAGUUUACUACUGUAUGCAGUAUCGCAGCUAUCCUCCCACAACCACAUACUCUCCCCUGGCAUACUGUGAGAAGCCCAUGGAAACUUUGGAUUUGUAA